rnacentral:tRNA from 1 species
GGGAUGGAAAGUGCUUUCUUUGCAGGUGAGCCAUAAUUAACCAACCUU